GAUCCUGGCUCAGGAUGAACGCUAGCUACAGGCUUAACACAUGCAAGUCGAGGGGCAGCAUGAACUUAGCUUGCUAAGUUUGAUGGCGACCGGCGCACGGGUGAGUAACACGUAUCCAACCUUCCGUUUACUCAGGGAUAGCCUUUCGAAAGAAAGAUUAAUACCUGAUAGUAUGGUGAGAUUGCAUGAUAGCACCAUUAAAGAUUUAUUGGUAAACGAUGGGAGUGCGUUCCGU
rnacentral:rRNA from 1 species